GUGGGGAAUCUUAGACAAUGGGGGAAACCCUGAUCUAGCCAUGCCGCGUGAGCGAUGACGGCCUUAGGGUUGUAAAGCUCUUUCAGCUGGGAAGAUAAUGACGGUACCAGCAGAAGAAGCCCCGGCUAACUCCGUGCCAGCAGCCGCGGUAAUACGGAGGGGGCUAGCGUUGUUCGGAAUUACUGGGCGUAAAGCGCGCGUAGGCGGACCAGAAAGUUGGAGGUGAAAUCCCAGGGCUCAACCUUGGAACUGCCUUCAAAACUCCUGGUCUGGAGUUCGAGAGAGGUGAGUGGAAUUCCGAGUGUAGAGGUGAAAUUCGUAGAUAUUCGGAGGAACACCAGUGGCGAAGGCGGCUCACUGGCUCGAUACUGACGCUGAGGUGCGAAAGCGUGGGGAGCAAACAGGAUUAGAUACCCGAGUAGUCC
rnacentral:rRNA from 1 species